rnacentral:rRNA from 1 species
CUUGAAUGCUAUAAGAGGUCCAGCCUGCCCAGUGACUUUGUUCAACGGCCGCGGUAUCCUAACCGUGCGAAGGUAGCGUAAUCACUUGUUCUUUAAAUGAGGACUAGUAUGAAUGGCACCACGAAGGUUAUACUGUCUCCUUUCUUUAAUCAGUGAAACUAAUCUCCCCGUGAAGAAGCGGGGAUGUAGUUAUAAGACGAGAAGACCCUAUGGAGCUUUAAACAUAAGUAACAAUUGCCCACCACAACAUUAAUCCACGGAUAUUAACCACAACAUUUAGGCAUCUUGAUUACAAGUUUUAGGUUGGGGUGACCGCGGAGCAAAAAACAACCUCCGCAGUGAAUGGAACUUAUUUCCUAAACCCAGGGCUACGACCCUAAGAAUCAAUAAAUUGACACUAAUUGACCCAAUAUUUUGAUCAAUGAAC